rnacentral:rRNA from 1 species
UACGUAGGCAGCAAGCGUUGUUCGGAAUUACUGGGCGUAAAGAGUGUGUAGGCGGUGCUCUAAGUUCGGUGUGAAAUCUCCCGCUUAACUGGGAGGGUGCGCCGGAAACUGGAGUGCUCGAGCGUGGGAGAGGAAAGCGGAAUUCCUGGUGUAGCGGUGAAAUGCGUAGAUAUCAGGAAGAACACCCGUGGCGAAGGCGGCUCUCUGGGACGGUACUGACGCUGAGACGCGAAAGCGUGGGGAGCGAACAGG